ACCACCCCUGGUCCAAAACCUCAGGACAGAGUUUCUGGGUUUAAGAGGCAAGGGCAAGAAUCCAGCCUCAGCCAAGCACUAGGUGGGUCAGGAUGGAUCAGGAUACUGUCCUCUCAACAUUUCUGUCCAAAUUCCUCAGUGAGUGACAUGGGCUCACCACCUCCAAGAAAUGGGGAAUGGAGGCAGCCUUGGCGGUGAUCACUCAUGUUCAAAAGCUCCUGUCCAGAAGAUACCCCCAAUCCCCAUUUCCUUUACCUCUGAAAACCAGCAUGCUACUGCAGAGGGCAGAGGAGCCCAGCCCAGUUUACAAAGCAGGCCCAAGCGAAGGGUAAUUUCAGCUCUUCCUAGCUGGGCAAACAUGACACUUGAUGGCCGCAAGUCUGAGGAAACUCACCUGGGCCCUGAGUCUGCCCAGGCCUCCUGGGGAUCCUGGCCUCCAGUUCUGGGGACUCAGGCCUUUGCUCUCUCUAUUCAUCUUUCAGGGAAAUAACAAGGCAGGCUGGAUCCCUGUGGGGUCUUGCAAGAAGCUAUGACUUCCUUAGGACUACUGUGUGCUGGGUACCAUGGUGAGGGUCUCAGCAUUAGCUCGUCGAAUUCUCACCCUGCCUUAGAUGUUCUAUUACUAUCUCCCCUUCAGAGAAAACUGCUACUUUGAGUCACUUGGUCAAUCAGGCUUCAAACUCAGGCUCUCCUGAACAAAGUUUCCUGUUUGACAUCUUAGCCCAGCUCUGCCUCCUCUUCCAUAGACUCUCUGUGUGGUCCUGGGCAAGUUGCUAACCCUCUCCGGGCAUCUCGAAACCAAGGGUGAGGUCUCAUGACAGUGGCAGGGCCUCUUUGGGGAUUUCAUGUCCUGAGCCUCCACCUUUCUGGCCCUGGCUUCUGUGGGCCUGGAGAUCUGGGGGUGAAGCAGAGGGAAUAGUGCUUUCACUUCCCAGCCACUGAGAACUGGAAGAUAGAUCCCACUCAGCUAACGCAGGGCCCAGGAAUCACGUGGCUUCAGAGGCAGCUCAGUGCCCAUCAGGAGGGUGCGGUCUGCACGGGGCCGGCCUGUGGGUGCCCAUGCAAUGUUCUGCUCACACCUACCUUCAGAGUAGACUUACGUUUUAUAAAUUGCCUUGCCUUCCAGGAACCAUCAAUGGGAAAGAAGGCCAUUGCUUAGGCCUAGGCCUGGGGAGUGGGGAGCCAGGAGGUCCAGGAGGCCAGCAGGAAGGCAAUGGGAAGAGGCUAUAGGUCUGGGGGGAACAGAGGACCUGUACAGGGUACAGUGACUACGGCCUCCUGGGCUGGAGGCCCUCAGUGGCCUGGGGGAGCAAGGGACUGGCACAUGCGGGGGUGAAAUCCUACCUCUCCAGGACUGCCUUGUCUGUCUUCACAAUUCACCCCUCACUCCCCAAAAGGGAGCUCAGGGACUAAAAGCGAGGAGGAGUGUCACCUUAUUGAGAGCUUCCUGUUUGCCAGGCAUUUCUCAUUCGAUCCUCUCCACAAGCCAGAAGAUGUAAUUCCCCACUGAAGACAAAGGCUCAGAGAGGUUAAGUGACUUGCUUAGGGCCUCACAGUUAUUCAGUGAGUUGGGCCAGAUCUCAGGAUGGAGAAUGGAGACUUGCCUUCAUUCAUCACCAGGCUAUGGUGCAGACAAGGUGACCCUCUGAGUCCUUUGGGGUGGAUGGUGGAAUGAUCACUCACCUUCCAGGGAAUGAUCGGGUCCCCUCCCAUGGCAGUGGGUCAUGGGGAGUAGAUUUAGUCUUCGCACGUUGGUGGAUCGGGAGGCAUUUGGUCCCUGCCCCGUUCUGAGGUGACUGUGUGUCUAGAGGUAGGUGGUUGGGCCCAGCAGAGAGUAGAUGUGCCCCUCAGCACAGCAGGUGCCCCUGGACUGCCUCCUCCCUCUUUGCCAGUCCAGUUGCCCACUCCAUUCUCCGAAGCCACACCUGCCCAGCCUUCUGGCCUUGGCUCUCCAGGCUUUCCACCAGGGAUGCUAUCUUCUCCAUUCCCAUCAUGGACCUCUGCCCCGUGGUUCCAGACCCAGCUCAGCCACCGCCCCCUUCUUGUGCUGGGAGGCCCAGGAGAGGCAACAGAGAGCCUGUUUUGGGAGUUAGGACACCUUUGCUCCCAGCCCACCACUGUCCCACUUGCAGGGUGUCUUGGGCACAUCACAGACUCUCUCUGUGCUGCUGUCUCCCCGCCUGUCAGGUAGGAGAGUAUGGGACAUGGGAUGUCCAGUGGUACUUCUGCCUCUGACUGAGCCUUUGACUCUUGAGCUAGGGGGCACCUCAGGGUUUAGCGGGGCCUUGCUUUGGGGAAUGCCCUCAGAAGAUCUCCUUACGCUGUGUAGGGAAAGGAAAACAUGUGCGUUCAGAGGGGACGGGCCAGGGCUGUGAGUAGGUCACGACCUUAACACCUUGCUUCACAAGGUACCGCUCAUCUUCUGAGCCUUGCAAUGGCCCUUUUCCCAGGAUGAAACCGAGCCCCGAAAGGAGGUGGUGGCUUUCCCAUGGCCACACAGCUGGCAAGUGUCAGAGCGGGAACAAGAACCAGGACCAGAAAGGGGCUUCGGAGGUCAUCGAAGUGAGAACCCCUAGGUCUCAUUCUUCUCGGGAGGUGCCUGUCUCUGCUUGCAUCCUUCCGGGAAUGGGGAGCUUGCUCCUUCACAUGGCGGACCCUGCUCAGUGGUGUGGUGCUAUCUGUGUACUCGGCUUAUCUUUCCGCCAGACUGAGAGGCAGCGGACUUGCUGAAAGAGCGUGGACUUUGGAGCCCUGCGACCUGGCCCUGAAUCCCAGCCUUGCCACUUAGGGCCGUGAGCCCUAGGGAAGCUCCUACCACCGUGGGGACCUCAGCUUCCCUAUCUGUAAAGUGGGGCUGGUCAUAAGUACUUCCAAGGUGGUCUGACCAUUAGAUGAGAUUAGAAACGUAACUCCCCUUUCCUGUUCCAGUCUGGGACUCCCAUCUCUCGGGGACAGAGAUUGUGUCCAGUGCUGCUGCGUGCUCUCCCGGUUAUGACGGCGGUAUAAAUAUUAACAACAAUGGUAAACACAUAUAGCAAUGUGACUACGUGCAGUGUAUUGUGUGAAGAACUUACAUGCGCUAACUCAUUUCAUUCUCACAACAGCCUCGUGGCAUCGGAACUAUUCCUCCCAUUGACAGAUGAGCAAUCUGAAGCACAGAAAGGUUAGACAGCAAGCCCAAGGUCACACAGCGAGUGGGAGAGCUGAGAUUUGAAUCAAGAAAAUCAGUUCCAGGGCUGUAGCUGUGGAACACUAUAUUAAAUGGCCAUGGGAGAAGGGCUUGAAGGGGCUUCUAGAGCCAUAGGGUGGGGGAGCUGUCCACGGGCUACCCUGGCCUUGACAUUCUUGUCCUGUCCUGUGGGGUCGGGGUGGACAGAGAAGCUCCUGGUCUGUCCUCUGGAACCUCUGAACAGGUAAAGUGGUUAACGCUGAAGAGAGGGAUGUCUCUAGGUCCCUAGGGGCAGGGGACUGAGAGGCCACUAAUGGAUUAGGCAAUCAGGCAAUCAGAGAAGGCUUCGUGGAAGAAGGGGCAUUUGCAGUGGGCCUUGACCGAUGAAGAUCUGGGUGGGGAAAGACAAGGCAAAACAGCAGGAGUGAAAGUGAACAGUGGAAGAGGUAUAUUAGGGAUUCACUUAGGUGUCAGUCUAGACCUUCUCCUGGGUGCCGGUGGGCAGGUAGAGCAGAUAAGGUGAAUACAGGGAAGGAGGGUGUGUUAGUCGUCUAGUCUGUGAUUCAGAAAUUGCUGAGGGAACCGUUUCAGGGACUCUGAAAGCCAGGACAGACCCUGAAGAGCUGAGAGCCACUUGGGCUGCCCUAGGGGCCAGGUUGGCAUUUUGCUUCUUUUGAAGCUGCUCUGAGUACUCAGAGCCCUGGGUUCCUGAAUCCAGCUCUUGGUUAUAUCCCUCCGUUUCUCAGAGCCUUAGUUUCCCUAUCUGCAGAACGGGCAUGAAGAGUGGACCUGGGGUGCCAGUUGAAGGAGGAAACAGGGUGGUGGUGGGGCCAUGCCCGACACUCCUGGGGUAGGAAGUGGGUGGGAGGUUUGUGGAGGGGAGGACAUGGGAAGCCGGACAGGGGUGGAUGGGAGGAGCUCCAUGUGCGUGGCCAGUGGUGCCAAGCCUGCCGAGUUGGUUCAGGUUGUGCCUCGUGACUCGCCCCACACCACAUGCUCCAUUUUCCCGGCAUUGCCAAAGGCUGCCCAGCUCUGCUGGCUUAAAAACAAUCUCCCUCCGAGGCUUCUGCAAGGACAGCGCCUGGCAGGCUGUGGGCUGACCCGGCUCCUCUGGCCGGCCGGCCGGCUUUUGGCCCACUACUCCCCUCCAGGUAGCACUAAUGUACUAAUGAAUGCUUUGAGAGCAUUCAUUGUGUGCCAAGGGCUGUUUUAAACGCUUCCAUUAUAUUAACUAAUUUAAUCCUCACCACCACACUGAUGACACCCAACUCGGGCGAGGAAACAGACACGGACAGGUUCAGCCUGGUGGUCCCACUCCAGUUGCACGGCAGGACAGGUGAAGCCUGAGAGGUGGAAAGAGCCCACGGAGCCUGGCAGCAAGGCCUGCAAGGGGCAGUCUGCACCCCUUCUGGCUGUUUCCCUGUGGGGGGACCCUCACACAAGCAGUUCCUCUGUCUGCACGUGUGCGUAUGUCCGCACGCUGGACACCGCGGUCGUGCAGACCCACAGAGAUAGUCCCACAUGGGUCUCACUGUCACUGAGUCACAGACACAUCCACGGGUACAGGCACCAUGCCCACCCUGCCGCAGACACACACACACACGCACACUCAUGCCUAGGCACCCAGUGGCCACACUGCCUGACAGAUACACAUGUGAGUGUCCCUCACACACCCCUAGAUCUCCCCCUCCACACACACACACACACACAGAGGCACACACGCUCCUAUGUCCUCCAAAUGACCCAGUGGGAUCUGUGAACUCACGUUGCAUCCCCCUGGCCUCCAGCCUCUGCGGAUGGCCCUCUGGCCCAUUCUUUACCCUUCAAGCCCAUGGCUCCAGAAUGUGGACACUCUGCAGGUCCCGCCCAAAUCCUUGC